CCUACGGGUGGCAGCAGUGAGGAAUAUUGGUCAGUGGACGAGAGUCUGAACCAGCCAAGUAGCGUGAAGGAUGACUGCCCUAUGGGUUGUAAACUUCUUUUAUAUGGGAAUAAAAUGUUCCACGUGUGGGAUUUUGUAUGUACCAUAUGAAUAAGGAUCGGCUAACUCCGUGCCAGCAGCCGCGGUAAUACGGAGGAUCCGAGCGUUAUCCGGAUUUAUUGGGUUUAAAGGGAGCGUAGGUGGAUUGUUAAGUCAGUUGUGAAAGUUUGCGGCUCAACCGUAAAAUUGCAGUUGAAACUGGCAGUCUUGAGUACAGUAGAGGUGGGCGGAAUUCGUGGUGUAGCGGUGAAAUGCUUAGAUAUCACGAAGAACUCCGAUUGCGAAGGCAGUUCACUGGACUGCAACUGACACUGAGGCUCGAAAGUGUGGGUAUCAAACAGGAUUAGAUACCCGUGUAGUC
rnacentral:rRNA from 1 species